GACCUUUGCCGGUCCUUCGAAUCCCUUUUUACUUUGUCCACACCUCUGAGCACCCCGUUCGCGCGAGGUUCUUCGGAACCCUGUGUGAAUGCUUAUCUCGAACUCGUAUGUCUACAGAAUGUGGACCUAGUGUGUUGAAAUGGAAAUACAACUUUCAGCCAACGGAUCUCUUGGCUCUCGCAUCGAUGAAGGACGCAGCGAAUCGCGAUAAGUAAUGUGAAUUGCAGAUUUUCCGUGAAUCAUCGAAUCUUUGAACGCACCUUGCGCUCCUUGGUAUUCCGAGGAGCAUGCCUGUUUGAGUGUCAUUGAAAAUCUCAAGCCGAGCUGUUUUGACUUUGGUUGAAAAAGCCCGGAUUUUGGAGUGUUGGGAGGUCUGCAGGCAGUCCUGAUCUUUUGGGACUGCCAGCUCUCCUGAAAUGCAUUAGUGGGAUGGGCGUGCGACCAGCCUCUUCGACGUCGUAAUGCGAUCGUCGUGGACUGUGAGCUUUUUCCCCCCCUUGGCUUUGCUAUUGUGAAGGCUUGACCCA
rnacentral:rRNA from 1 species